rfam:Schistosoma mansoni, Puerto Rico, WGS project CABG01000000 data, contig: 0141
AUCCAGCUGACGAGGCCCAAAUAAGAUGAAACGCGUGUACUGGAU